UUUCUUAGGACUUAUUUGACGUCGAGGACAUAUAUUAGAUAAUUUUGAGCCGGGUCCGUCCUGACCAAAAAUUUGCGAUUUGCGUGGAUUUCUGGUUCUAUGGACGUAAAACGCCCGAAAAAUACCAAAAAUGCAAUUUUAUCGUUUAGGAAGGGUGAAAAUAUUUUCUAAGGCCGUAUUUGACGUCAAGGACAAAUAUUCUGCGAUUCCGAGCCGGGUCCGUCCAGGCCCAAAAUUUGCGACUCGCGCGGAUU
rnacentral:lncRNA from 1 species